GAUGAACGCUAGCUACAGGCUUAACACAUGCAAGUCGAGGGGAAACGACAUCGAAAGCUUGCUUUUGAUGGGCGUCGACCGGCGCACGGGUGAGUAAUGCGUAUCCAACCUGCCCAUCACUUGGGAAUAACCUUGCGAAAGUAAGACUAAUACCCAAUGACAUCCCACGAAGACAUCUGAAUGGGAUUAAAGAUUUAUCGGUGAUGGAUGGGGAUGCGUCUGAUUAGCUUGUUGGCGGGGUAACGGCCCACCAAGGCAACGAUCAGUAGGGGUUCUGAGAGGAAGGUCCCCCACAUUGGAACUGAGACACGGUCCAAACUCCUACGGGAGGCAGCAGUGAGGAAUAUUGGUCAAUGGGCGAGAGCCUGAACCAGCCAAGUAGCGUGCAGGAUGACGGCCCUAUGGGUUGUAAACUGCUUUUAUAAGGGAAUAAAGUGGGUCUCGUGAGACUUUUUGCAUGUACCUUAUGAAUAAGGACCGGCUAAUUCCGUG
rnacentral:rRNA from 1 species